rnacentral:rRNA from 1 species
GUGUCAGCCGCCGCGGUAAUACGGAGGGGGCAAGCGUUGUUCGGAAUCAUUGGGCGUAAAGGGCGCGUAGGCGGCCGUGCAAGUCGGGUGUGAAAUCCCUCGGCUCAACCGAGGAACUGCACUCGAUACUGCUUGGCUAGAGUCCGGGAGGGGAUGGUGGAAUUCCCAGUGUAGCGGUGAAAUGCGUAGAUAUUGGGAAGAACACCGGUGGCGAAGGCGGCCAUCUGGACCGGCACUGACGCUGAGGCGCGAAAGCCAGGGGAGCGAAUGGGAUUAGAAACCCUUGUAGUCC